GAUUAUGGCUCAGGAUGAACGCUGGCGGCGUGCCUAACACAUGCAAGUCGAGCGAUCUCUCGGAAGAGAGCGGCGGACGGGUGAGUAACGCGUGGGUAACCUGCCCUGUACACACGGAUAACAUACCGAAAGGUAUGCUAAUACGGGAUAACAUAUUUUUAUCGCAUGGUAAAAAUAUCAAAGCUCCGGCGGUACAGGAUGGACCCGCGUCUGAUUAGCUAGUUGGUAAGGUAACGGCUUACCAAGGCGACGAUCAGUAGCCGACCUGAGAGGGUGAUCGGCCACAUUGGAACUGAGACGCGGUCCAAACUCCUACGGGAGGCAGCAGUGGGGAAUAUUGCACAAUGGGCGAAAGCCUGAUGCAAGCAACGCCGCGUGAGCGAUGAAGGCCUUCGGGUCGUAAAGCUCUGUCCUCAAGGAAGAUAAUGACGGUACUUGAGGAGGAAGCCCCGGCUAACUACGUGCCAGCCGCAGC
rnacentral:rRNA from 1 species